AGACACAAUGGAAAGGUUGUUGGUUUUUUGUUGGUUUGGUUUGGUUUUGGGUGGGGUUUUUUUUGCCUGAAACAAAAGUACUUUGUCAAGAAAAAGAACAUGUUUUUGACACAUGCUAUUUUCAUCAUUUAAAAUGUUUCCACACUGAUCUCUGGUUGUUUCACCUUUACAACAAUCAGCUCAAACAUACCUUUGAUUCAGUUGCUAUGUCUGUUUUGUCAAAAGUCCUUAAGAUGAGAAAGUCAGAAAGUCACAUCCUUAUGGAAGCAUAAAGAUCAAUUAAACUAAGAGCUGCAAAGAUAUGGAGGCCAAAAGCCAAGUGCAACUCAUAAAAAUAAACUUCUGUAGUUAAGAGAACACUUUUUCUACUAUAAACAUUUACUUACUUAUGCAUAGCAUGCAUUUUCUCAAUUCAGGAUAUAAGAUUACCUGAGAGCAGUUUAGAACACUUUCCAGACAUAGAAAUUACUGCUUAAAAGUCCACCAGCACGAUUACCACAACUUCUCUGGUAAUUUUUACCACUAUCUUCAUACACAAUCUUGUUGUAUGAAACAUAUAUGAUCAGUAAGGUGCAUUGCAAUAAUAAAAUGACAGCAGUUCUUGUUAUUUAAGCUGACUUCUAGAGCAGGCUACUAUCAACAUCCUUCACAUUAUAACCUAUUCAGAUUUCUUAAAAGCUGAAAUGUUAUUACAUCAUGGUCCAAACAAAACCUUCCACUUGUCUUUCCACCUUAUCUCUUCAGGUCAAUGACAGGCAAACCCUGGGAAAAUUAUAGAAACAACCACAAGUAUUUAAAAUCUGUAUUGUCACUACAUGCUUCCACUCCUCUCAAAGCUUUAGAUAUUUUCCUUUCAAUUUUUUUCUUUCAUUACCCCAAGGCAUGCUAAUUAAUUGGAAUUUCCCAGGUCUUUUUUUGUUGUGACCAGAAAGAAAAGACAAAAAAAAAAAAAAAAAAAAAUCUCAUUCCGUCUUGGUAAAAUGAGUCCAUCUACCUUCCACAAAGACAGGGUAAUAAGAGGGAGGAUUAAGGCCACUUGAAUAGCUUAGGCCUAGUAAAGACAACUCCAGCUCCUGCCCUUAGCCGUCAUCCUUGCCAAAAUUGGUUUACGGAGAAUGACAUCUUAACCACAGCUAUUACUUUGUGAAGAAGAGGCUGCUGUGCUGGCAGGGUUUGGCAUCCAAAGUUGGCUACUGAGUAAGGUCUGAUGCAAAGACACAGGAAACCACACUGGCAUACCAACGCAGUGGUGUGUGUGCAUGUCUGCAAGGGCCGUCUGAAGGUCGGAAAGAAAAGUUCAUAGACAAAGGCGUAAAAAGGAAAAAUGUGUGCGUGCUGUGCUGAGCUGAAAUACCUUUGUUAAAGCACGGAAACCCACACAAAUGUCCUGAAGGAGACUGAAAUCUUUUUAAGAAGCUGGUCAUCC
rnacentral:lncRNA from 1 species